CGCCUCGUCGGCCCGAGGCCCCGCCCACUGCUUCUGGAAGGAAGUGGCAGAAAUGAGUAGCAGCGCUCACGACCUAAAGCAGCUUCCAGUGCUUUCCUGGUUGGCUGGGUGGUCUCUGUGUGGCUGGAACCGUGGGGCGUGAGGUCCCGAGGCCUCCGUCCUCCCCGUCCGCGGAUGUUGAGAGCAGCAGCUCUUCAGGCCCUGAGGACGACCCCGCCGGGCAGAACGGCGCGGAGUCUGGCCUGGGUGAGACCUCAGGGUUCUGGGGUCCGACCUAGGGCACCGCCGCCGAGGACCUGGCGGCUGGGUGAGGACGACAAACCUGGGUGCCCUCUCUGUGAGCAGCUGCGCUCUGAAAACGCCUCCCCGCUGUCCGCGUUGGCCCCUGGGCCCUCGGCUGCGCUGCGCUGCGAGGGUCGCGCCCCUGCCGGGCUCAGGCUCCGGGGAGGGACUGAGCACCCGGGGGCGUGUUGCAAGACAGGAGUUCUCUGGCCUUGCACCACUGCAUCACCGUCUUGCGCUGCUGCUUUUCAAAGGUGGUCCUCAGUUGUCAUCGUCUUGCCCCUGAGGCAUGGAAAGAGAUUUAGGAUGGAGUUGAUGCCCAAAGGUCUGCCAGGUACUGGACCAUCGGAAAAUGUCCCUGACCUUGCAGAGCUAACAUCCUAGGGGCAGAGGCAGAUAGCAAGCAAGCGUACAAAUAGGCAUCCUCAAUCAUGAUUACAUGAAUGACACCUAAGGACACGUCCUCCAGCACCUAAACACAUCAUGAGGACUGCAAGGUAAGUCCAACAGUUGGCAACCCCAGAAUGUUAUGUAGAAAUGGAAAUCUUAUCACUUUGACAGAAUCAAGCCUCAUUUUGCUUUUAACCUUUUUCUCCGUUAAAACUUUGAGCCAAAACUAUUUAAUCCCCAGACACAUACACAUUCAAGGAUAAACACUCAAGAUAUUUAGCUUUUUAUUCUGUCCUUCUCUUUGCUUCCACAGGUUUUGGUCCCAGGGGCAUAACUUAAACAUCAUUUAUGCUAAACUGUCACAGACUAUGCUUCUCAGGAAACUCAAACGGCAACACACAAGAAAUUAGGUUCUGGAAACAGACUGGUCCUUCAUAGUUGUCUUGAGUUGGAGAAGAUGGCCAGGGCUUUGUAGUCUCACGUCAAACUGUCUUUGGAUAUGGGUCUCCUAGGAAGGGGCAUUGGCCUCGGGCAGCUCCCUUCUGGAUGCAGCCUACUAACUCAGGCAUCCUUACCCUUGGCUGAUGUCCCUUUCCUCUUCCUCCUCCCAAGGAGAUAGUGCCCAUAGGGUUGAAACUUUAGUCUGUGGGGUUGCUGCAGGAGGGAAAGAGGUGAAUCCACAGGAAGAUGGGCAAGACUUUUGGUGAGAGAACACUCCCUGAAUGUCUCUUGAAUUGUGAAACCCUCUGGGUUAUGUUCAUGGAGGAAAAGAAGGAUGUAAAGGAAGAGUGCAACCACACCCAUAGCCCAUCCUGACCCCAUCACAAAAUGAUUUACAAAUGUGUUCACUAGUAUGACCUCGGAGAAGAAGGGACUUUUAGUCCUCCCAAAAUGAUCAUGUCCAUCUUCAUGUAGUGAACUUCUUUCUUUUAUUAUAAAAUUAAAGAUUAAGAUACAAUCAUUAAAGUGGAUAUUUCACAUGCAAGUAAAAAUGAGUUUAAGUAAACAUUGCCAAUUUAUCAAAUUCUUCCCUGUUUUGAAAUAGGCAGGGUUUCUGAGGAUGGCAUUGAUGACUAGAAGAAAAGAUAAAAUGUAAGAGAAAAGCAAGUACUAUUAAAAACAUGGUUGUUUUUUUAGCCCAUCUUCAUUUUUAAGGGACUGCUUUAAAAAAAAAGCUGAAAUAAAGUUAACAUGCAUUUCCUGAAUCUAUACUUC
rnacentral:lncRNA from 1 species